UCUGUCCGUAGGCCGCUUCUGCUGCAGGUGAGGGUUCCAGUUACUAGCUACCUUCACCUUAAUAUUACGCCCCUUACAGCACCUCCCCCUCAGUCUCCCCCACCCAGACACCCUCUACUGGACCCUUCAUUCAACGUCAAGUGAGGAGGAAAGUGAUAGAGAGUGUUAAAGGGGAGAUAUAAAGGCGUGUAAAUGUCUAUCUGGCGACUCUGUGAGGAUAAGGAAGAGAGCGAGAUCCUACAUUUGUUUAGUGUCACCGGCAACGUGCAAGAGGGAGGUCGCGUCUGCUGCGGCUCUGGCCUGCCCUAUUGUCUUGGAGACGCGGGGAGACUAAAUUGAAAAGCCCGCGACCUCGACCUCGGCUGAAGAAAAAACGGAAGGACGGAAGGAAGAAAGACGGAAAAGAGGAAGGAAGGCGCCGCAGGGAAGAGAGGAAGAGGAGGAAGAAGAGGAGGAAGAAGAGGAGGAUGGGUUGAGGCGAGGUGCAGCUGACCGUGGGAUCCAGAGAGAGAGAAAGAGAGAGAGAAAGAGAGAGAGAGAGGGAAGGUGGAAGCCUCACAGCGCACUCUGGUGGUGAUGCUUCGCCGCUCUCGCAUUCCCGGCCCCAUCCCGCUCCUCCACGGUGGCCAUCCGUAUCUCGGCUGACCGCCCCCCAUCCCCCAGCGCCUCCAUGCCUUGCCCUCAUUGCUGUGACUCCCCCGCCCCUGCCCCUCUGCGCUACACAGCCUCAGAAAUUAAUGUUUAAGUGAUA